CAGUUUUCUGUAGCAAUACAGGGAAUGGGCGCGUGGCGAACGGGUGCGUAACACGUGGAUAACCUUCCUUGAGGUGGGGAAUAACCCAGUGAAAAUUGGGCUAAUACCGCAUAACAUGACGAUGGCACAUGCUGUUGUCUUCAAAGGCGCAAGUCGCCACAAGAGGGAUCCGCGGCCGAUUAGCUUGUUGGCGAGGUAAUGGCUCACCAAGGCAAUGAUCGGUAGCCGGACUGAGAGGUUGGCCGGCCACACUGGAACUGAGACACGGUCCAGACUCCUACGGGAGGCAGCAGUGGGGAAUCUUGCACAAUGGGCGAAAGCCUGAUGCAGCAACGCCGCGUGGGGGAUGAAGCUUCUCGGA
rnacentral:rRNA from 1 species